rnacentral:lncRNA from 1 species
GUUCAGAAGUGUAGCAAGGGAAGGUAGAAGUUGCAAGAAUGAUUGGCAGUUCUUAAGAUUUAGAAUCUUUCAUGAGCUGGUUGGGACAGAGUUCCAAGGAGCAGUUUCCAACUGACUCAGUCUGGAUCUGAAAGGGAAGAAGGAAGGUAUGUAGCUGAGACUCCCUGAACAAACCACCUAUCAAGCAACUGGACAUUGAGGAUCAACUGUCUGAGGAGUCUGCUGCUGAAAGAAAAGGAGGCUUCAUGGAAGAUUUAUAUGCACCAGCCAUUUCUGAAACCAAUAGGCACCUUUGUUUGAUAUGUUUAAAGAAGUUCUAAAUAGAAAAGUCAUAUGGCUUACCUAGAGGAACUCCAAGGAAAGUAGAGUCAAAGGUAAAACAUUGAAGGGGAUUUUGACAGUCCAUUGAUUUCUCCCCAUUACCUGGGGGACAAGAUUG